UGUAAUAAAUUGCUGCAUGCAUGCGAAUCUAAAGCGUAUUUUUUAAAUACGCUACGUCAUGCCUAACGGUUUGUCGGUAAAAUAACGACAGCAAGAUGAAAUUUUAUAUUAGUACUAUAUCGGGCUACGUUAACAGUUUUUUUAUUACAUUUUAUGAUGCCUAACUGUUUGUCGGUGAAAUAACGACAGUACGAUGAGAAUUUAUAUCAAUACUACUAAAUUAGGUGGUGUUAACCGUUUGUCGGCAAAAUAAUGAUAAUGUAACGAGAUUUUAUACAAAUAGUAUGCUAUACAGCAUGAACAAUUUGUUGGUAAAAUAAGUACAAUGUAACUAAAUUUUAUCACGUUUAAUUUUUUUUAUUUUUUACUAUAAUUCUUUGAAAUGUUACUUCUACCGCAAUGUAUCACUUUUACCUCAACUCCGAAUGAGAUAUCACUACAAUGUUGCUUUAAAUUAAGGCUACAUUACAAAAAAUUCUCUUAUAAAUAUCCAACUUUUCGCUUUUCUUCUCUAACUUUCAAAAACUUCAAUAUUUUCAAGUUGUUUCAUUAAUCCUCCUCUGCCAGGUUUUAUUAUUAUUUUGUUCAUUUCUUAUAAUUUAUAUGAAAAAUUUUCAUCAAAAUAAAAAAAAUAUAUUAAAUUUUUAAUUUUUUAUAGAAAAAGUAAGGAUAAUUUGGUCAAUUUGUUAUUUCUAUUAACGCCGUACCUUCUGAAAAUAUUUUGGAAAUAAAAAAAAACAAAUAUUGGCUUUUAAAAGUCAGAAAAAAUAAAAAAAAUGAGUAUUUACAAAAAAAAA
rnacentral:lncRNA from 1 species